rnacentral:rRNA from 1 species
GAUGAACGCUGGCGGCGUGCUUAACACAUGCAAGUCGAACGGAAAGGCCCAAGCUUGCUUGUGUACUCGAGUGGCGAACGGGUGAGUAACACGUGGGUGAUCUGCCCUGCACUUCGGGAUAAGCAUUGGAAACUGGGUCUAAUACCGUAUAGGACCACUUCUUGCAUGAUGUUGUGGAAAGUUUUUUCGGUGUGGGAUGAGCUCGCGGCCUAUCAUCUUGUUGGUGGGGUAAUGGUCUACCGAGUCGUCGACGGGUAGCCGGCCUGGGAGGGUGUACGGCCACAUUGGGACUGAGGGACGGACCAGACGCCUACGGGAGGCAGCAGUGGGGAAUAUUGCACAAUGAGCGCAAGCCUGAUGCAGCGACGCCGGGUGCGGGAUGCCGGCCUUUGGGUUGUAAACUCCUUUCGCUAGGGACGAAGCGCUUUGUGACGGUACCUGGAGAAGAAGCACCGGCUAACUACGUG